rnacentral:rRNA from 1 species
UACGUAGGGUGCAAGCGUUGUCCGGAAUUAUUGGGCGUAAAGAGCUCGUAGGCGGCCUGUUGCGUCCGCUGUGAAAGCCCGGGGCUUAACCCCGGGUCGGCAGUGGAUACGGGCAGGCUAGAGUUUGGCAGAGGGGGGUGGAAUUCCACGUGUAGCAGUGAAAUGCGUAGAGAUGUGGAGGAACACCGAUGGCGAAGGCAGCCCCCUGGGCCAAAACUGACGCUCAUGCACGAAAGCGUGGGGAGCAAACAGG